UACGUAGGGUGCAAGCGUUGUCCGGAAUUAUUGGGCGUAAAGCGCGCGCAGGCGGUCUCUUAAGUCUGAUGUGAAAGCCCACGGCUCAACCGUGGAGGGUCAUUGGAAACUGGGGGACUUGAGUACUGGAGAGGAGAGUGGAAUUCCAUGUGUAGCGGUGAAAUGCGUAGAUAUCAGGAAGAACACCCGUGGCGAAAGCGAGGUCCUGGACGCCUACUGACGCUGAGACGCGAAAGCCAGGGGAGCGAACGGGAUUAGAGUACC
rnacentral:rRNA from 1 species